rnacentral:rRNA from 1 species
AUUGAACGCUGGCGGCAUGCCUUACACAUGCAAGUCGAGCGGCAGCGGGAAAGUAGCUUGCUACUUUUGCCGGCGAGCGGCGGACGGGUGAGUAAUGCCUGGGAAAUUGCCCAGUCGAGGGGGAUAACAGUUGGAAACGACUGCUAAUACCGCAUACGCCCUACGGGGGAAAGCAGGGGACCUUCGGGCCUUGCGCGAUUGGAUAUGCCCAGGUGGGAUUAGCUAGUUGGUGAGGUAAUGGCUCACCAAGGCGACGAUCCCUAGCUGGUCUGAGAGGAUGAUCAGCCACACUGGAACUGAGACACGGUCCAGACUCCUACGGGAGGCAGCAGUGGGGAAUAUUGCACAAUGGGGGAAACCCUGAUGCAGCCAUGCCGCGUGUGUGAAGAAGGCCUUCGGGUUGUAAGCACUUUCAGCGAGGAGGAAAGGUUGAUGCCUAAUACGUAUCAACUGUGACGUUACUCGCAGAAGAAGCACCGGCUAACUCCGUGCCAGCCGCCGCUGUAAAAC